rnacentral:rRNA from 1 species
AUGUGCAUGCCUACAAUGUUAAUGCACCAAAUAUGAUCAAAACUCUGAAGUUAAGCAUGCUUCGGCUAGAGUAGUACUGAGAUGGGUGACCGCUUGGGAAGUCCUAGUGUUCUACAUGUC